rnacentral:tRNA from 1 species
GGUGGGGUGGCUGAGCGGCCGAAAGCACCGGUCUUGAAAACCGGCGAGCCGACAAGGCUCCGUGGGUUCGAAUCCCACCCCCACCG